rnacentral:rRNA from 1 species
AGAGUUUUAUCCUGGCUCAGGACCAACGCUGGCGGCGUGCCUAAUACAUGCAAGUCGAACGCUUUUUUCAAUCAUCGUAGCUUGCUACACCGAUUGAAAAUUGAGUGGCGAACGGGUGAGUAACACGUGGGUAACCUGCCCAAAAGAGGGGGAUAACACUUGGAAACAGGUGCUAAUACCGCAUAACCAUGAUGACCGCAUGGUCAUUAUGUAAAAGAUGGUUUCGGCUAUCACUUUUGGAUGGACCCGCGGCGUAUUAACUUGUUGGUGGGGUAACGGCCUACCAAGGUAAUGAUACGUAGCCGAACUGAGAGGUUGAUCGGCCACAUUGGGACUGAGACACGGCCCAAACUCCUACGGGAGGCAGCAGUAGGGAAUCUUCCACAAUGGGCGCAAGCCUGAUGGAGCAACGCCGCGUGAGUGAAGAAGGUCUUCAGAUCGUAAAACUCUGUUGUUAGAGAAGAACAUGCAGGAGAGUAACUGUUCUUGUAUUGACGGUAUCUAACCAGAAAGCCACGGCUAACUACGUGCCAGCAGCCGCGGUAAUACGUAGGUGGCAAGCGUUGUCCGGAUUUAUUGGGCGUAAAGGGAACACACGCGGUCCCUUUAACUCUGAUGUGAAAGCCUUCCGCUUAACCCGAAGAAUUGCAUUGGAAACUGGAAGACUUGAGUGCAGAAGAGGAAAGUGGAACUCCAUGUGUAAACGUGAAAUUGCCGUAAUAUAUGAAAGAAACACCAAUGGAGAAAGGCGGCUCUCUGGUCUGUAACUUACCCUGAAGGUCCAAAAAUGUGGGUAGCCCAACAGAUUAAAAUACCCUGGCAAUCCCCCCCGGAAACCAAUUGAAUGGCUAAUUGUUGGAAGGGUUCCCCCCCUCCGGGACUGCACCUAACCCAAAAAGCAUU